rnacentral:rRNA from 1 species
CCGGCACGGGUGAGUAACACGUAUGCAAUCCACCUGUAACAGGGGGAUAACCCGGAGAAAUCCGGACUAAUACCCCAUAAUAUGGGCGCUCCGCAUGGAGAGCCCAUUAAAGAGAGCAAUUUUGGUUACAGACGAGCAUGCGCUCCAUUAGCCAGUUGGCGGGGUAACGGCCCACCAAAGCGACGAUGGAUAGGGGUUCUGAGAGGAAAGUCCCCCACAUUGGAACUGAGACACGGUCCAA